rnacentral:lncRNA from 1 species
CUGCCCUGUGGGGUACACAGGCUAUGAAGAGCAAACGAUGAGGAUUUGUGAGGGCGACAGUAAAUCUGGGGAUUUGAAGACACGUCUGGUGCUCCAACCGAACUGUUUACCUGGCCUGGACUUGGAGAUCAGAGUAAGUGG